rnacentral:rRNA from 1 species
CCUACGGGAGACUGCAGUGAGGAAUAUUGGUCAAUGGACGAGAGUCUGAACCAGCCAAGCAGCGUGAAGGAUGACUGCCCUAUGGGUUGUAAACUUCUUUUAUAUGGGAAUAAAACGUUCCACGUGUGGGAUUUUGUAUGUACCAUAUGAAUAAGGAUCGGCUAACUCCGUGCCAGCAGCCGCGGUAAUACGGAGGAUCCGAGCGUUAUCCGGAUUUAUUGGGUUUAAAGGGAGCGUAGGUGGAUUUUUAAAUCAGUUGUGAAAGUUUGCGGCUCAACCGUAAAAUUGCAGUUGAAACUGGCAGUCUUGAGUACAGUAGAGGUGGGCGGAAUUCGUGGUGUAGCGGUGAAAUGCUUAGAUAUCACGAAGAACUCCGAUUGCGAAGGCAGUUCACUGGACUGCAACUGACACUGAGGCUCGAAAGUGUGGGUAUCAAACAGGAUUAGAUACCCUUGUAGUC